rnacentral:lncRNA from 1 species
UUUCAUUUUAAAAACACAAAGGGAAAAUGGGAAAAUAAUAAUAAUACUAUCAGUGAUGGCAUUUUCCCGGGCUCCUAAAGCAGCUGCCUCCUUUUGCUGGUCUGAGACGGGCAUCUUUUCCCAAAAGGCCAGGAGCCCGGGCCUCCCUCCCUGUCUCUCUGGCUCUCAUAUAGAAACUUGCACCGGCCCAUGCCACAAAGAACUGGGUGCCCAGGGGCACUUAGGAGCUGGGUGAGUCAUGAGGGGUCAGGGGGUGGUUGGCCUGGUGCCCAGCCAGCCACAGCAGGAGGAGGUAGGGGCUGGGCAUGCACCUUGGUUAAGCCCCACCCCCUAUGGCAAAGUCUCUGCCAACACUCCUCUGAGGGCUCAUUUUCCAGUCUCCAGUGGCCCCGGGGUCUUUUUGAGAACUACCCACCUGCCACAUAGAAAGAAAUGCUCUGUUGGCAGGGAGGCCUCCUGGAACCAGUCAGGAACCAGGCUCUGGAAGGCCCGGGCCAUUUCUUCCCUGACCUGUCCUGUGACCUUGACAGGUCAGCCCUCUGUAGCUCAGUGUCACCUGGCUAUGGAAGGGGCUGGUAACUGAGGUUUCCGCCCUCCACCUCUAAACACAUACACACCUAUCCCCCCAGAGAAUCACAGAGAUGGUAGAAGCUUUGUACUCCCCAAGUCCAUGGGGAAACAGUUUAUCUUUCUGGACUUAGUUUUAUCACAUCCAGCUCUAUAUUAGCAUAUUAGCAUAGGUGAGAAAUAUGGCCAGACUAGACAGAGAUCAGGUCAUCAGGGGAGCUUCCGAGCUUCAGCAAAGCCCACAGGUAGCUCUGCGAACUCAGAAUGCUACCCUACCUUCCCUGCAGGCCGCUGUUCAUGUCUGGACUCCUGGGGGCGCUAUUUAAUGUUUACCCCCAUCUCCAGUGCCCCCUCCAAGGCUGUGCAGUGUCUUGGGGCUCUCAGGGCCAACAUCGAAGAGAUGGGGGCCACCUCUUAACACCUGGCAACAGUCUCCCCUCAUCCUGAUUCCUGACAACAGACAAAACACCGGUUUCUAGGGUUUAUCUGUUUGUUUUUUGAGUUGAGGGUUCCUCAGGGCCUUGGCAUUGCUAGUGAUGGUCCCCUUUGCUGUGUGAGAACCCCCUCAACCCCUUCCUCCUCCCUCUGGGGAUGAAGUGGGAGUAUUUGGCUCCCCAUUUUUGACAAAAGGGCUCAGUGCAGGGAGGUGGAGGCCUCUGAGGUUUGAAGGGCUCUGUGAGUUAGAGUUGUCACAUGUUCUCCUGGUUCUUGAAUUUGCAGCAGGUCCUGAAAAGGAAGGCUCUGCUGGCCCCGUGCCUUCCUGACCUUCUCUCUCCUUCCCUCCCCUCUCUUUUCUUGCCAAGUUUGCUUUGGUUUCUGAGCAGCCCAGAGAGGAGGAGGGUUCGUCCCCAGGGAGAGCCCAGGGCUGGAGUCCCCAAUCCCUGUGCUAUGGGCACAAAGAGACUUCAGCUCUUCCUGUUGCCUUGGCUUUUUCCUGAGCAAAAACACAACAAACAAAAAGGCCAGAGAAGAGCACAGACUCUGUCCCUCUCACAACUCUCCAGAAGAGACCCCCUGAUUCUUCACACCACCGGAUGCCACUCCAGCCAGCAGGAUUGCUACACACACCCUCUGUUCUCAGAAGUCAUCUGCCUGGGCAGCCGCCUCUCAGAUUCCUGUCUUCGUUUCAGACACUUUUCUCUGAAGCAUGCCCAUGUCCACCAGCCAACGUGCCCCCGUGUUCCCCCCCAUCAGCCAAGUGAUUGGGGCUGAACCAGACUUUAAAAGAGAGGAAAAAAAAAAAAAAAGGAAACAUGAAUAAAUUGGAAUCCAGUGGUGGAGGGGUGGUUGUGUUUUUGUUUUGCUUCAAUUUUUUUUUUUUUUUGAUGUUUCAAUUUCCCUGUCUGUCUGUGGGAGAACUUUGGAAUUUUUUCUAUUUAUAACUCUUUUUUUAUGUGAUUGCUCUACGUAAAAUGACACUCAACAAAGUUUGCCUUAGUGAUUCAAGGGACAAUCUUCCAUAACUUCGGUCGCACGCCACAUCCCGCCGAGAAAAACUCUCAGCUAAUUUUCUGGCCUAUUUAUUAAACAGUAUUAAUUGACUUG